UGAUAAUUUUGAUCUAAACAAGACCAUAGAAGACGUCAAUGUCCUACUUGACAAUCUGUCUCCCACAAAUUCUCAUCCUUGGCGUAUCCGAUAUGAACCUCUGCCUAUCCUUUCUAGUGCGCCACAGUGCUCUUCCAUCGAGUCCCCUCCAAACUUGAGCUAAAGCCACUUUCGGUAACCCUUAAGUAUGCUUUCUAGGACCCGAAGAUACCCUACCUAUAAUCAUCGCGGCUGACCUG
rnacentral:lncRNA from 1 species